UUGCUCUUGCUGAAUGAACCGCAUGGCUAACAUUGUUGCUUGCUUAAAUAAUUAAUUAUCACAUGCUUGCUUUGAUCUUUAGAAAAUAAAUCCACCGACCCACUUUAAUUGAUUUUCACCAAUCACCAAUAAGAAAAAUCAAUUCACGACCACACUUCCUUUUUCUUUUAAUUCUUAUGAUGCUUCAUUCUUUCAACUGGGCACAAAAUCGAAAUCAGCCCUUCCUGCUACAUUCUUUCUUUCUCUCGACGACAAUCAACUGGCUUGGUCAUCUUGAUGCAAACCUUCAGCUUUUAAGCAAGUCUACCUCAAUUCCAUAAACUUCAAAAGGGACUCAGGAGAGACGUUAAGCUGUUCCUUUCCUUUCCAUAGCAAGAACCCGUAUUGAAUAACCUACACCAUAACCAAAACAAAUUAAAUAAAAAGUAAUCUUGAUUUUAUUAGUGUCCAUUGAAUAAAACACUAACCGAGUUACUUUUGAGUUCUUUCCUACACCAUAACCAAAACAAAUUAAAUAAAAAGUAAUCUUGAUUUUAUUAGUGUCUACAGAAUGAACACUAACCGAGUUACUUUUGAGUUCUUUCGGUGGUUCAAAUUGAGAUUCAGAUAUUAUUUAAUCUGAGGACGGAAAUGAGAUCGGCCCAAGAGAAACUUUUGGGUGCGGCAUGGAAUCUUUUUUCAUCAUUUUUUU
rnacentral:lncRNA from 1 species